UACUCCAUGAGUAUAGCAACCGUCGACAAGCUCGAACACAGCAGACGAAAUUGCAGCGAAAGAUGGCGGCGGCAAACGAAGCACGGGGUUCGUUCAUCGGACGCGCAUUGUUCUCGCGUUUACGGCAGUCGACCGCCAGGGAUUCCAGGACGGACCUGCGCGAACGAUAUCCGUCCGGCAGUGAUCUGAAGCGCAAAAAAAGGGGCAGAACACGGAAGAGUGACGCGCGAUCUCCUUGGGCUCUCCGUCGGAACACGGAAAACGGAGGAGACGCGUUCCUCUCGAAGCACAUACGUGCCCGGCUGCUGCAAUAAAUGCCCGGUAAUUGUUAAUUAACGGAAAUCGUCCGAUCGGAGCUGCCACCGUAAUACCACAGGUCUAUCUCCGAUAUUUGUUUGUUCGACAACGUAAAAACAUCGGACGAAAAACGCGACGAAAUACGACACGGGGAAACUGACACGGCGAGAAAUCAACUAUCUUCGUGAAACUUGAUACAUUAUUUCGAACGAGGAAACGGGCGGCUCACGAUCGACGAAAACUUUAUUGUUUUCGUCCGUUCACGGUUUUACGAUUCGGUUGGCAGCCAGCAGGAAACGAAGAAUAACAUUUUCAAGGUUACGUUUACGCUGCGAGAUGCAGCGCGACAGACGCACAGCGAAGGAGGACGAAUUACCAUUCUAGUCGGCAACGAAUCAUGUAUCGUUGUGUUCUAUUCGUAACGAAUUCGAUUAUUGUUGUGUACCUUGAGAUAACGUUUUCACAAUGAUAGGACACCACGCUAAUGGAAAGAUGAGGGCGAAGAAAAGCUUGCGAUUGGCUUCGGCAAUUCUAGCAACGAAUUUUGAUUUCGCGCGAAGAUCCGGUGUUUUAGCUGUAGCUACCAGGAAUGCGAACGAGAUGCGACGUGAAUGCGCGAACGAAGGACAGAAUGCAACGGCAGAAAAUCUCGAAUGUAAAUAGAAGAGGAAGAGCGCGCCGAUUGGAAGAGAGCAACGCCACAGGUGAGCCAUCGGCGAUCGAGAAUGGCAGCGCUCAAGGACCCCGAUUCGAAGGUCCCUGGCCCCGUCACCGGUCGUCUCCGAUCGAUGUCGAGGAUCGACGAUCGAAAGGAAACGGCAACGCGGAAAUCGAGGGGGAAAUCUGACCGUGACGGCCAUGGUACACAUCGCGCGUUUUCUGCGACUCACCGGCUGCCGCGCCGCCGCGGCGCGCAGUCGAACGAAGCACCUAUUUUCCUUGGACAUCCGUAUCGGCCCGAUUGUCGCAAUUUUGCACUAUUAAAUUUUUAAUAAAUGAUCGUAGCAUGAGAAACGUCCAGAAAAAAAA